rnacentral:hammerhead_ribozyme from 1 species
AUUCAGCUGACGAGUCUUAAAUAGGACGAGACGCGCUUUGUCCUGGAU